rnacentral:rRNA from 1 species
UACGAAGGGGGCUAGCGUUGCUCGGAAUUACUGGGCGUAAAGCGCACGUAGGCGGCUCUUUAAGUCGGGGGUGAAAUCCUGGAGCUCAACUCCAGAACUGCCUUCGAUACUGAAGAGCUUGAGUCCGGGAGAGGUGAGUGGAACUGCGAGUGUAGAGGUGAAAUUCGUAGAUAUUAGGAAGAACACCAGUGGCGAAGGCGGCUCACUGGCCCGGUACUGACGCUGAGGCGCGAAAGCGUGGGGAGCAAACAGG